rnacentral:rRNA from 1 species
UACGGAGGGGGCCAGCGUUGUUCGGAAUUAUUGGGCGUAAAGGGCGCGCAGGCGGUCGCGCAAGUCGGUUGUGAAAUCCCCUGGCUUACCCAGGGAACUGCAUCCGAUACUGCGUGACUUGAGUCCGGGAGAGGAGAGUGGAAUUCCCAGUGUAGCGGUGGAAUGCGUAGAUAUUGGGAGGAACACCAGUGGCGAAGGCGGCUCUCUGGACCGGUUCUGACGCUGAGGCGCGAAAGCUAGGGGAGCAAACAGGAUUAGAUACCCUCGUA